GAGUUUGAUCCUGGCUCAGAGUGAACGCUGGCGGCGUGCCUAACACAUGCAAGUCGAACGAUGAUGACUGAGCUUGCUCAGUCUGAUUAGUGGCGCACGGGUGAGUAUACCAUAGAUAAUGUACCCCUUAGUUUGGGAUAGCCACUGGAAACGGUGAUUAAUACCAGAUACUCCUUCUUGUCCUAAGGCAAGUCGGGAAAGUUUUUUCGCUAGGGGAUCAGUCUAUGUCCUAUCAGCUAGUUGGUGAGGUAAUGGCUCACCAAGGCUAUGACGGGUAUCUGGUUUGAGAGGAUGAUCAGACACACUGGAACUGAGACACGGUCCAGACUCCUACGGGAGGCAGCAGUGAGGAAUAUUGCACAAUAGGAGGAAACUCUGAUGCAGCAACGCCGCGUGGAGGAUGACGCAUUUCGGUGUGUAAAC
rnacentral:rRNA from 1 species